UUGAUUCUGGAGGAAUGUGCUGGCUUUGAAACUCUUAGCAAUGUGCACUUUCUCUCAAAAUCUUAUUCACCUGUGCACAUAUGAUGGGCAUUGGAAAGGAAGCCAAGACAAUUGGUUCCCACCUUUUGCCUGUUGCAAUUUUCACACCCAAACUAUGAUAUUGUAUUUGAAAUCAAAUGUAA
rnacentral:misc_RNA from 1 species